CUGUCAUUUUAAAUAAGAAUUUGUUCUUAAACUGACUUGCCUAGUUAAAUAAAGGUUCAAUAAAUAACAAUGGGGUUGAAAACAGGUUUGAUUGAGAGGGGCCCAACCUAACAAAAGCAAACAACACAAAGAAUACAUCU